rnacentral:rRNA from 1 species
GGGGGGGGGGGGGGGGGGGGGGGGGGGGGGGGGGGGGAGGGGAGGGGCCCGGCGGGCAGGGUACUGGAGGGGCGAACGGGGGAGUAACACGGGGGGGAUCGGGCCUGCGCUUCGGGGUAAGCCUGGGGAAAUUGGUGCAAGACCGGAGAGGAGCCCGGUAUCGUUGGGGUGGUGGAAAGUGUUUUCGGUGGAGGUUGAGCUCGCGGCCGCUCAGCUUGUUUGUGGGGUAAUGGCCUACCAAGGCGGCGAGGGGUAGCCGGCCUGUGAGGGUGGACGGCCACAUUGGGACUGAGCUACGGCCCAGACUGCUACGGGAGGCAGCAGUGGGGAAUAUUGCACAAUGGGAGCAAGCCUGAUGCAGCGACGCCGCGUGGGGGAUGACGGCCUUCUGGUUGUAAACUCCUUUCGCUAGGGACGAAGCUUUUUGUGACGGUACCUAGAUAAGAAGCACCGGCUAACUACGUG